UUUUUGACGAAACAACUUUAUAGAUUUGAUUAGUAAGUGUAGUGAAUCGACAUCAUAGAAUGGUUCUGCUUUCUUUAAAAAAAAUGAGAGUAGUGAUUUCGCGUAUCAGGAGACUUAAAUUCAUAAGGCUGCUCUAUAAGUUAUGUAUGCAUUUAUAGUGUUGACAAAAGAUAACGUAAUAGUCCAAAUGUUCAGUAUAUAUUAAAAUAAGAAUUUACUAAAAUAUUUUUUUUAUUUUAAUAUAUACUGUAUUGAAUAUGUGAUACA
rnacentral:lncRNA from 1 species